rnacentral:lncRNA from 1 species
GUCUCUACCAUGUGAGGACACAGUGAGAAGGCAGCUAUUUGCAAGCCAGGAAGAGAGCCAUCACCAAGAACUGAAUCUGCCAGCCCCUUCAUCUUGGAUUUCCCAGCCUCCAAAACUAGUGCAGACAUGAGUCCAGCAAGCAGUACCACGUCACUUCCUGUUAGUCCUCUUACUGAAGAGCCAGUGCCUUUCAAGACCACAUACCCUAGGGAAUUCUGAAAACCUGACUAACAUCAAUUGAAGAUUGGGGUUCAGGAGGCCUAGAUGAUCCACCAUGACUUAUUCAAAAGUUGAAGAUGAAAGGAAAGAAUAAAGACUCUUUCCAUCCAGUUCUCUAGUCUGAAAGGAAAAGAAAUAGGCAAAGGACAGUAGGCUUUUCUAUAUCAUUAUAUUCAUUCAAAUGAUUCUCUUAAAAUAAUAAUGAACUAAGGAGGCUCUGUAAGCAAGACAAACGGUCAGGAGGCCUCCUUGCUCCAAGAAUACUCCCUUUUUACUUUAUUAAAAUGGUUUGUAAAGGUAAACUAA